GACGAACGCUGGCGGCGUGCCUAAUACAUGCAAGUAGAACGCACAGUUUAUACCGUAGCUUGCUACACCAUAGACUGUGAGUUGCGAACGGGUGUGUAACGCGUAGGUAACCUGCCUGGUAGCGGGGGAUAACUAUUGGAAACGAUAGCUAAUACCGCAUAAUAUUAAUUAUUGCAUGAUAAUUGAUUGAAAGAUGCAACUGCAUCACUACCAGAUGGACCUGCAUUGUAUUAGCUAGUAGGUGAGGUAACGGCUCACCUAGGCGACGAUACAUAGCCGACCUGAGAGGGUGAUCGGCCACACUGGGACUGAGACACGGCCCAGACUCCUACGGGAGGCAGCAGUAGGGAAUCUUCGGCAAUGGACGAAAGUCUGACCGAGCAACGCCGCGUGAGUGAAGAAGGUUUUCGGAUCGUAAAGCUCUGUUGUAAGAGAAGAACGGGUGUGAGAGUGGAAAGUUCACACUGUGACGGUAUCUUACCAGAAAGGGACGGCUAACUACGU
rnacentral:rRNA from 1 species